UUGUCAUGAGAGGAAGAUCAUGUGAUACCCAAAGACACCAUUCUGUUAUUCUUACUAUUUUUAUGACACAACUCACAUCUUUCUAGAUACUGUUCACACAGUAGAACUUUCAAGUUCAAGGAAUUCAAAACAGACACUUUCUGUUUACAAGAAAUACAAGACACAAGACAAGUGAAAUAGUAUCAAGCUUUUGUCUAUUAUACUACUAACAGAAUGAAAAUAUUUAUAUUUAGUACAUACAUGGACCCAGAAAGAACAGGAAUACUAUCACAUUUGUCUUAUUUUCAGGCAAGGUCAUUCAGACAGAAUUUUAUUAUUAUUUUUCAAAUAUAGUGCUAUGCCUGAACUCCAGUCAAUUUAAAAAGUGAAGACAAAAAUUAACUCCAGAUUUCACCAAUAAUACUUUAACAGUGAUGUUGAGUAAAAAAAUAUAAAUAUUGAAAAAAGAUAUAAAACUAUUAGGUUCUGAUACUGGUAUAGUAUAUAUGACAUCAAAAGCAGACACAGAACAAUACCUAGCCCCUACUGCCUUUAUUUGUACAAAUUAAAUGCAACUGGGAUUGUUUUCCGGUCUAUACCAUUAAACUCUUACCCACCCAAACACGAUCACUGCAAGUGAACUACCUAUUGUCCCCAGGCCCUUGAUUUGUGUUAACUCGCAAACCACAUCCAGAAAUCAUUUGGGAAGGCAUGUUUCAGGUCGGGCCAACAAUGCCAAGGGCUAUUCUAACAACUUAACAAUAUGGAUUUUCAAGCUCUAGUGUCUGGGAACAUCCCUCCUCCCACCCCAACUCUUUAAUUUACUACUGCAAAUGCUGCUGCUGUGCCUCUGUUGCUGUCGCCAUAUCUGAGGCAGUGCAACUGUGAGGCUUUUGUUCCAACAGGUAAGUUAUCUCUUCCUAUUCCAACUUCUUGCCGUUUCUUCCCGGCAGUGUACUAAAGAUGACAUCUCUUGGCAUAUAUGGAGUCAGCGAAUCACAAGAAAAAAAACAGGUAAAUUAGGGGAUUGUGUUAGGAUAGAGUCCUGUAUUCCAAGGAUAUGGGGAAGAAGAAAGGGCUACGUGACAUUGAAGCUGUGUGUAUCCAUGGCAGGUAAGAAUCCCAAUGUCACCUUGAAUUGCAUCCAUAUACUGAAAAUAAUUUUCUUGAAAGACAGUUCCUGUCCCUGCUUACCCUGCUCCUCGCAACAAAAACUUAGAGUAAAAUCCUUACUGCUACCUACCCCCAAAUUCUAAUGGUGACAUAAUUAUUGGUCUCGAAAUACUGAUUUUUAAAAUUACUCUUUUAAGGAUUCAGGGGUUAAGAUUCCAGUUUUCCUGACAUCUUCUAAUUCAGAUUUCAAACAGAAAACAGUGAUUGCACCUCUGUCAUUAGUUGUUUUCAUUUAGGAGGUAGUGAACAAAACCCAACAAAAAAAGCCCUUGACAGCUCCCCUCUCUGAAGCCAGACCCCAUAGCUCUUUAUUUUCACUAGACAACUUGAUAUAUAUUGGGUAUUCAUGUAUAGCAGAUAUAGACCACAUUGUGGAAACACAACAGGUCCACUGAAACACAGAGAACUCCGAGGAAGAGCUCCAGUACAUCAACAUCUGCUCAACAUAUAUGUAAAACUGCUGGGAAAGAUGAAGAAACAAUUUAUAGCUCAGUGCCUUCAGUAGCUGGAAGGCAUACAACUAAUGGAUCUUUUCCCCAUUAGACCAAGCAGUCUCUGGAAGUUUUUCAGCCUUUGCGCUGCCACAGUGGUUGAUUGUUAGCAGAAGUGUCUGCACCAGUUUCUAGACGUGAACGCCCGAGAAGCAGCAAAAACCUUUGCAAUGGAAAUUCCCCUUUGGAAUUUGCUCGGUUUAACCCAGGGUAUGGUUAGCUGAUCCUCACAGCACUGUGCAAGGCUCAUCCUCUUUCCUAAGGGUUUGUGUUCAAUUAAAAGACUUAGCUUCCCCCCAACACUGAGUCUCCAAGAUGAUCUAAUGAAAUAAUUCUUAGAUGAUUUUCCUCUCUUCAACAUUAGAAAGAAGCAUAAUAUGUAUUUUUUUCUUUCUACUGAAGACUAGAUUCUUAAAGCAAAUGAAAACCUGGCCGUGCUUCUAGAGCUCUUUUUAUACAGUUAAACCACUGUUGCUGUCUUUGAAGUACUGUCCAGGAAGAAAUAUCUAGCACACUUUUUCAAAAAGAGAGACUGUCACUGGCAACUCCCUCUUCAGGAUCAGUUUUACAGCUUCUCUUACUUGCAGUCCAAGGAAAAGGUCAUGAAAAUGAGUGGGACUGAACACCAGUGCAAAACUGCAAGUCAUACAUUAAAGCUAGAUCUCAAAACUUCUAAAAAGGUAGAGAUAGACGAACAAAGAAGAAUUUCUGAUCAAGAGAACCGCUAAUUUUAAAUUGUCAAAAGUCUCAGAAAAUAUCACAAUCUUGUUAUCUGCCAUGGGAUGCCAUGUACAAAGACAUGGGAAUAAAACUUUUGCCUUAAUCCAAACGGACAUCACAAAGUAAGAAAAAACCUGGGAGAGACAAAGUGGUUCACAACACAACAUUUGCCUGUACAGCGAGGGACACACACCCGCCCUCCUAAUUGUCAAUCCAGUGUCCUAUAUUCUAGUGACAUACUACCUCUCAUGAGCAGAAUAAUUAACCAGAAAAGAAGAGGAGGCACAUGAUCAGAUCCUACAGCUUUCUAUUAUUUAGGAUGAAUGGAAAUAAAGGGAAACACUUUCAAAA